rnacentral:rRNA from 1 species
GAUGAACGCUGGCGGCGUGCUUAACACAUGCAAGUCGAACGGAGAAAACGGAGCUUUCUUUGUGGGAUCAGUGGCGAACGGGUGAGUAUCACGUGAGCAACCUGUCCCUGACUCAGGGAUAAGCGCUGGAAACGGCGUCUAAUACUGGAUAUGUGAUGUGACCGCAUGGUCUGCGUUUGGAAAGAUCUUUCGGUUGGGGAUGGGUUCGCGGCCCAUCAGUUUGUUGGUGAGGUAGUGGCUCACCAAGGCGUCGACGGGUAGCCGACCUGCGAGGGUGACCGGCCACACUGGGACUGAGAGACGGCCCAGACGCCUACGGGAGGCAACAGUGGAGAGUAUUGCACAAUGGGCGGGAGCCUGAUGCAGCAACGCCGCGUGCGGGAUGACGGCCUUCGAGUUGUAAACCUAUUUUAGCAGGGAAGAGGCGAUAUUGACGGUACCUGCAGAAAAAGCGCCGGCUAACUACGUG